rnacentral:rRNA from 1 species
UGAAGCAGAGCUUGCUCUGUGGAUCAGUGGCGAACGGGUGAGUAACACGUGAGCAAUCUGCCCCUGACUCUGGGAUAAGCGCUGGAAACGGCGUCUAAUACCGGAUACGAGCUGCGACCGCAUGGUCAGUAGCUGGAAAGAAUUUCGGUCAGGGAUGAGCUCGCGGCCUAUCAGCUUGUUGGUGAGGUAAUGGCUCACCAAGGCGUCGACGGGUAGCCGGCCUGAGAGGGUGACCGGCCACACUGGGACUGAGACACGGCCCAGACUCCUACGGGAGGCAGCAGUGGGGAAUAUUGCACAAUGGGCGCAAGCCUGAUGCAGCAACGCCGCGUGAGGGAUGACGGCCUUCGGGUUGUAAACCUCUUUUAGCAGGGAAGAAGCGAAAGUGACGGUACCUGCAGAAAAAGCGCCGGCUAACUACGUGCCAGCAGCCGCGGUAAUACGUAGGGCGCAAGCGUUAUCCGGAAUUAUUGGGCGUAAAGAGCUCGUAGGCGGUCUGUCGCGUCUGCUGUGAAAACCCGAGGCUCAACCUCGGGCCUGCAGUGGGUACGGGCAGACUAGAGUGCGGUAGGGGAGAUUGGAAUUCCUGGUGUAGCGGUGGAAUGCGCAGAUAUCAGGAGGAACACCGAUGGCGAAGGCAGAUCUCUGGGCCGUAACUGACGCUGAGGAGCGAAAGGGUGGGGAGCAAACAGGCUUAGAUACCCUGGUAGUCCACCCCGUAAACGUUGGGAACUAGUUGUGGGGUCCAUUCCACGGAUUCCGUGACGCAGCUAACGCAUUAAGUUCCCCGCCUGGGGAGUACGGCCGCAAGGCUAAAACUCAAAGGAAUUGACGGGGACCCGCACAAGCGGCGGAGCAUGCGGAUUAAUUCGAUGCAACGCGAAGAACCUUACCAAGGCUUGACAUAUAGAGGAAACGUCUGGAAACAGUCGCCCCGCAAGGUCUCUAUACAGGUGGUGCAUGGUUGUCGUCAGCUCGUGUCGUGAGAUGUUGGGUUAAGUCCCGCAACGAGCGCAACCCUCGUUCUAUGUUGCCAGCACGUAAUGGUGGGAACUCAUGGGAUACUGCCGGGGUCAACUCGGAGGAAGGUGGGGAUGACGUCAAAUCAUCAUGCCCCUUAUGUCUUGGGCUUCACGCAUGCUACAAUGGCCGGUACAAAGGGCUGCAAUACCGUGAGGUGGAGCGAAUCCCAAAAAGCCGGUCCCAGUUCGGAUUGAGGUCUGCAACUCGACCUCAUGAAGUCGGAGUCGCUAGUAAUCGCAGAUCAGCAACGCUGCGGUGAAUACGUUCCCGGGUCUUGUACACACCGCCCGUCAAGUCAUGAAAGUCGGUAACACCUGAA